rnacentral:lncRNA from 1 species
UCCUUGAUGCUGUUGUUGUCGCGGUGUAAUAAGAAGAUUUAUGGGCCUCCCCUGAGCUUAUGAAUUCAGCUGUUUGGUUCUAGCAUGUUUGUAGGAUUGUUGUAAUGGGGGAGGCCGUAUGAUUGCUGCGGUAGUGCAUGAUUAACUGGCCGCCUAGUGUAAUCUGAUGACCAUUAUGCAGUGCCUCUCAUGGCUACUAUGUAUUUAUGUUCUUCAUUUUCGCCGUGCACUAGUUUUUUGUUGUUCUAUGGCAGCGUUGUGCUGUGAUUACUGCAUAUUAGGUUGCAAGGUUCUCCCAAUGCUUUCAAGCAAGGCUUGUUGUAAUUAAGCCUUGGAAGCAAAAUGUGGAAACUACAGAUAAACUGACUGUAAUAUUGGACUGACGUAGGUUCUUGCUUCAUAUUGGUGUGGUAAUAAGAUAGUGUGGAUACAAG